GGGGAAUUUUGGACAAUGGGCGCAAGCCUGAUCCAGCCAUGCCGCGUGUCUGAAGAAGGCCUUCGGGUUGUAAAGGACUUUUGUCAGGGAAGAAAAGGCUGUUGCUAAUAUCAAUAGCUGAUGACGGUACCUGAAGAAUAAGCACCGGCUAACUACGUGCCAGCAGCCGCGGUAAUACGUAGGGUGCGAGCGUUAAUCGGAAUUACUGGGCGUAAAGCGAGCGCAGACGGUUACUUAAGCAGGAUGUGAAAUCCCCGGGCUCAACCUGGGAACUGCGUUCUGAACUGGGUGACUAGAGUGUGUCAGAGGGAGGUAGAAUUCCACGUGUAGCAGUGAAAUGCGUAGAGAUGUGGAGGAAUACCGAUGGCGAAGGCAGCCUCCUGGGAUAACACUGACGUUCAUGCUCGAAAGCGUGGGUAGCAAACAGGAUUAGAUACCCUGGUAGUCCACGCCCUAAACGAUGUCAAUUAGCUGUUGGGCAACUUGAUUGUUCAGUAGCGUAGCUAACGCGUGAAAUUGACCGCCUGGGGAGUACGGUCGCAAGAUUA
rnacentral:rRNA from 1 species